UAGUUCGUGGAGUGAUCUGUCUGCUUAAUUGCGUAUCAAUAAUAGAGACCUAGUAUACGCGUAGACUCAUGCGGUAGUGACCCCCCUUCACAGGGCGCGUGUCGCACGUAUGUUAUACGCACAGGUCUCCGAUAGCAACGAACGUGACCGUACUCUAUUGUUGCAGCGACAAUACCUUUCAACGGGUAUUACCGCUGCUUAGCAAGAUUCGUCUUGCAUUAAACUAUAGAGACCGCUGUUUCUUCUUUAAACCAGAGGAAGGAUACGGCAAUAACAGGUCUGUGAUGCCCUCAGAUGUUCCGGGCUGCACACGUGCUACAAUGAUCAUUGCACUGUGCAUCUAACCCAAUGUGCGCGGACGCCGCCGUGCGUAUAUACUUUAUCGUGUAUGCGUAUCGUGCGUGCGACCGCGCCGAACCUGCUUCGAAAGUAAACAUUUCCAGCGGAUAAUCCAUUAGAAGUAAUGACUCGCAUAGACCAUGGCACACUAUAUGUACCCGCGGGUUCUACCCGGCUCGCCUUUGUGUGAGUGCAGUGCGUAGCUCGUUGUUUGGUACGUGCCACUCCGUAUUAAUUCAUACGUGGGGAUAGAUCAUUGUUUAAUUGUUGGUCUCGGUCUUAACUAGGAAUGCCUUGUACGGGUCUUUGGUUCAACAUACCACCCGGAAUACGUCCCUGCCCUUUGUACACACCGCCCGUCGCUCUUACCGAUGGAUUAUACUAUGAAUCUAUAGGACUGCCAAAGUUGCUCUUCGCGGCGCGCUUAGUGGAAAUAUAUAUGAAUAGUGUGAUC
rnacentral:rRNA from 1 species